UACGUAGGUGGCAAGCGUUGUCCGGAAUUAUUGGGCGUAAAGCGCGCGCAGACGGUCCUUUAAGUCUGAUGUGAAAGCCCACGGCUCAACCGUGGAGGGUCAUUGGAAACUGGGGGACUUGAGUACAGAAGAGAAGAGUGGAAUUCCACGUGUAGCGGUGAAAUGCGUAGAGAUGUGGAGGAACACCAGUGGCGAAGGCGACUCUUUGGUCUGUAACUGACGCUGAGGCGCGAAAGCGUGGGGAGCAAACAGG
rnacentral:rRNA from 1 species